rnacentral:rRNA from 1 species
GAUGAACGCUGGCGGCGUGCCUAAUACAUGCAAGUCGAGCGAACAGACGAGGAGCUUGCUCCUCUGACGUUAGCGGCGGACGGGUGAGUAACACGUGGAUAACCUACCUAUAAGACUGGGAUAACUUCGGGAAACCGGAGCUAAUACCGUAUAAUAUAUUGAACCGCAUGGUUCAAUAGUGAAAGACGGUUUUGCUGUCACUUAUAGAUGGAUCCGCGCCGCAUUAGCUAGUUGGUAAGGUAACGGCUUACCAAGGCAACGAUGCGUGGCCGAACUGAGAGGGUGAUCGGCCACACUGGAACUGAGACACGGUCCAGACUCCUACGGGAGGUAGCAGUAGGGAAUCUUCCGCAAUGGGCGAAAGCCUGACGGAGCAACGCCGCGUGAGUGAUGAAGGUCUUCGGAUCGUAAAACUCUGUUAUUAGGGAAGAACAAAUGUGUAAGUAACUAUGCACGUCUUGACGGUACCUAAUCAGAAAGCCACGGCUAACUACGUG